GACGAACGCUGGCGGCGUGCUUAACACAUGCAAGUCGAACGGAAAGGCCCUGCUUUUGUGGGGUGCUCGAGUGGCGAACGGGUGAGUAACACGGGAGUAACCUGCCCUUGACUUUGGGAUAACUUCAGGAAACUGGGGCUAAUACCGGAUAGGAGCUCCUGCUGCAUGGUGGGGGUUGGAAAUUUUCGGCGGUUGGGGAUGGACUCGCGGCUUAUCAGCUUGUUGGUGGGGUAGUGGCUUACCAAGGCUUUGACGGGUAGCCGGCCUGAGAGGGUGACCGGCCACAUUGGGACUGAGAUACGGCCCAGACUCCUACGGGAGGCAGCAGUGGGGAAUAUUGCACAAUGGGCGGAAGCCUGAUGCAGCAACGCCGCGUGCGGGAUGACGGCCUUCGGGUUGUAAACCGCUUUCGCCUGUGACGAAGCGUGAGUGACGGUAAUGGGUAAAGAAGCACCGGCUAACUACGUG
rnacentral:rRNA from 1 species